UACGUAGGGUGCGAGCGUUAAUCGGAAUUACUGGGCGUAAAGCGUGCGCAGGCGGUCUGUUAAGACCGAUGUGAAAUCCCCGGGCUUAACCUGGGAACUGCAUUGGUGACUGGCAGGCUUUGAGUGUGGCAGAGGGAGGUAGAAUUCCACGUGUAGCAGUGAAAUGCGUAGAGAUGUGGAGGAAUACCGAUGGCGAAGGCAGCCCUGCC
rnacentral:rRNA from 1 species